UNGCCUACACAAGCUAAGGAACUCUGGUC
rnacentral:piRNA from 1 species